UGUAAUGGCAGGAAGAAGAUGUGUCUUUCUCUUUACUGGUUUGAAGUUUCUGUUUGUGGCUGCCAUGAACUGAGGCCCAGCCAUGCACGCCUGCCUGGGAGCUGACUGAGUGUGGACUGAAACCUCCAAAAACUAGAAGAGAGAACAGAUUGAUCUCUCCAGGCAGCUAAGCGUGACUCUUUCGUCAUCUACAUGGAAUAAGCUGAGGGAGCCGCUGAAGACCCUGGAGAGAAUGAGAGGAUCCUCUGCUGAGCAAGGAAUAUCUUUCCUCAAGAAACUGCCGAAGACCUUGGGCUGAAGGCAUGCCACCCUUGGAUACUGGACAGAAGAAAAGUGCUGGACUUCCACCUGUGAUUCUCAUCCAUAGGAUGAUCUCUUUCUUCCCAAAACUACUGCUCGAAAGUGUCUGUUUCUUGGAAUGCAGUCAUCUGUCAGUCAUCACCCUGGAAGUAGAAACAUCCAAGGAGUAGAAGGGACUCCAGGUGCCUACAUUCUUUGUCCAACAUUAAUCUCUGGAGAACAGUUCCUCCUGGGGAAAUGUGAGCUCAAACUACGUCCUACUUUUUUCUAAUUAAGAAAGGGCUUGGUGGUGCACACUUGUAAUUCUAUCACUCUGGGAGUCUGACACAGGAGGAUCAUUGUGAGUUUGAGACCAGUCUGGGCUACAAACUGAGCUGAAGCCCAACCUGAACUGUGUAGUGGGACUCUGUCUCAAAAAGCCAAACAAAG